GAGAGAGGAGGAUGAACGGCAGGUGCAGAUAAUGGAAGCAGCACGAAUGAGUGGUUUGAAGAAAGAAGAAGAAAGGGAGAGGAUGAAGCGUGAGGCCAACCUCUUGGCAGGUCAAGCUCUCAAUAAGCAAAUUGAAGAGCAGCACAUUUUUCGAAAACUUAAGUUCAACGAAAAAAGAAAGGAGGCAGAUCGAUUAACAAAAGAAGCAGACAAAUACAAAAUGGAAAUGGACAAGGAACAAAAAAAGAAAGAAGAAAAAAAAAGAAAAGAAGAGGAAGAAGCAAAGUGGGUGAGGAGGCAAGCCGAGAUACGAAAAGAAGAAGUACUGAAGAACAAUAAGCUGCAGGACGUCAGGAUGAUGGUGGAGAUAAAAACGAAAGAGAAGAAAGAGAGGGAAAGGAUGGAACAGGAGACUGCAACGAAAAGAGUGAAGGAAAAUCUCCAGCUGAUGUGGCUUGAGGAUCAAGAGCAGCAACUGGAGGAGCAGCGGCAGAGAGAUGAAGAUAAACAAAUCAGGGAACAAGAAAAGGCAUGUCUAUAAGUUUAGUAGGGGGUUUAGGGAUUCUGAAUGGUAGUUGCCAACACACUUAAACUACUAAUAUAUUUGGUUCAACAGAUCAAAGGAAUCAUAACUCUACGUUAUGUUAAAAACUGCUGGUCUUUAGGAUUUCUUAAGGUACAAUUGUGCUAUUGAUAGAUUGCUAUGAACUUAAUUUGC